rnacentral:rRNA from 1 species
UUUGCCUACGGGAGGCAGCAGUGGGGAAUAUUGGGCAAUGGGGGGAACCCUGAUCCAGCGACGCCGCGUGAGUGAAGAAGUAUUUCGGUAUGUAAAGCUCUAUCAGCAGGGAAGAAAGAAAUGACGGUACCUGACUAAGAAGCCCCGGCUAACUACGUGCCAGCAGCCGCGGUAAUACGUAGGGGGCAAGCGUUAUCCGGAUUUACUGGGUGUAAAGGGAGCGUAGACGGCAAUGCAAGUCUGGAGUGAAAGGCGGGGGCCCAACCCCCGGACUGCUCUGGAAACUGUA